GCAGCACGGACUUCGGUCUGGUGGCGAGUGGCGAACGGGUGAGUAAUGUAUCGGAGCGUGAUUGCCUACAAUGGCUGAGAAUGCGCUGGCGGCGUAGCUAAUGCCGCACUCCCAUUGUCGGGGAAAGCAGGGGACCUUCAGGCCGCUCUCACCUGUUAAACGCAUGCGAUAUGGAUUCUGCAUUCGUUGUGGUGGGAGUAACGGCUCGCAAGGCGACGAUCCGUAGCUGGUUUAGGACGACCAGCCACACUGGGACGAGACACGGCCCAGACUCCUGAGAAGUGGCGAUGAAAUUUUGGACAAUGGGGAAACCCUGAUCCAGCCAUCCCGCGUGUACGAUGAAGACGCUGGUAUGCGCGCGCCUGGCUGGGAAAGAAACGCUGGAUAGCAAUACCCCGUGCAACUGACGAGUACCUACCACGAAGAUAAGCACCGGUAACUACGUGCCAGCAGCCGCCUGCGAAGCAAUACGCAAUGGUGCAAGCGUUAAUCGGAAUUACUGGGCGUAAAGCGUGCGAGCGGUUCCGGAAAGAAAAGAUGUGAAAUCAGGCUGUAUGAACUGCAUUUUUUAACUGCCGAGCUGAAGGUGUGUCAGGGAGGUGAAUUCCCGCGUGUGUGGUGAAAUGCGUAGAUAUGCGGAGGAACACCGAUGGCGAAGGCCUUGUAUCAUUAACGACGCUCUCUGUGCACGAAAGCGUGGGAGCAAACAGGAUUAGACACCUGGUAGUCCACUAACAAUGUCGCUAGCUGUUGGGGCCUUCCGGGCCUUGGUAGCGCAGCUAACGCGUGAAGUUGACCGCCACCAGGGAGCAGUCGCAAAUUCAGCUCGAAGGAAUUGGCGGGGACCCGCACAAGCGGUGGAUGAUGUGGAUUAAUUCGAUGCGCGCGAAAGAGCUGUACCUACGCCGUGUAUGGAAUCCGAAGAGAUUUGGGAGUGCUCGCAAGAACCGGAACACAGGUGCUGCAUGGCUGUCGUCAGCUCGUGUCGUGAGAUGUUGGGUUAAGUCCCACAACGAGCGCAACCCUUGUCUGGAGUAGUUGCUACGAAAGGGCACUCAAUGAGACUGCCGGUAAACCGCCGGAGGAAGGUGGGGAUGACGUCAAGUCCUCAUGGCCCUAUGGGUAGGGCUUCACGUCAUACAAUGGUCGGGACAGUGGGUCGCCAACCCGCGAGGGGGAGCCAAUCCCAGAAACCGAUCGUAGUCCGAAUUAAGUCUGCAACUCGACUGCGUGAAGUCGGAAUCGCUAGUAAUCGCGGAUCAGCCAGUGAAUACGUUCCUGGGUCUUGUACACACCACCCGUCACACCAUGGGAGUGGGUUUUACCAGAGAGGAAACAGGUUAGCCUAACCGUAAGGAGGGCGAUUACUACGGUAGGAUUCAUGACUGAAGGGUCGAGAAUCGUAACAAGAGCAAUGGCUUA
rnacentral:rRNA from 1 species